rnacentral:lncRNA from 1 species
UACUUUCGCACGCUUUUCGAAAAUGAAAUUAGAGAUGACCGAUAGUUACUUCGCUGCGUUUGAAUUAAUCAUGAAAGCGAUAUCUUCAAAAUUACAUCUGAAUUGUCCUUAUAAAAUUGAAACAAGAGGCGCAGUGAGUACGUACUUAGUGCGAGCCCGCAUAGUCCAGAUCCAGCUGGGUGAUCGGUGACCAGAUUUCACAAAAUGAAAUACGGGACAAUGCACGAGCGGAUCGACCAACCCAGCUGUUACCAUGGCAAUCAAAGUGAGAAAAAUGAUGGCAAGUUUGUGGCAAAGGAAGAGGAAGAAAGACAUACGUCAAAAGGAUAACCUGACAUCAAAGAAGUUUUAUUCCAGCUUCAGAAAAUUGCUAGUGAGCCAAGAGACAUAUCGUUUCACUUCCACCAAAAUGCUAUGGGUAUCGAUGCUGAAGAGGAUACUGCCACAAGCUAGUGGGAUACUUUCUAAAAGCUAUGUAUAACAAGGAUCAAUACCAAAGAUAAAGGAACAGGAUCAGUACCAAGGACCAGGAACAAGGAUCAGGGAUUGGACUCAGGACCAGAACCAAGGAUCAAUACUAUGGACUCAGGACCAAGACCAUGGAUCGGGACUAGAGAUCAAGACAGGACCAAGGAUCAGAACCGAGGACCAAGACUCAAGACAAGGACCAGGACCAAGAAUCAAAGCCAAGUACCUUAGAAUUCAGAGUGCAAAGAUCAAGACCAAGGACCAGGACCAAGGACAGGACUAGGGAACAGGAACAAGGAUUGGGUUCAGGACCAGGAUCAAGACCAGAAGACCAGGACAGGGAUCAAGGACCAGGGCCAAGAACAAGGAUCAAGGACCAGAACCAAGUCAUGCAUCGUGACCAAGUACCACAGAAUGCAGAUGAUCAGGACCAAGGACCAGGACUGUGGAGCUGGACCAAGGAGCAGGACCGAGGAGCAGGACCAAGGAGCAGGGCCAAGGAUCAGGACCAAGGAUCAAGACCGAGGAGCAGGACCAAGGACCAGGACCAAGCACCAGGACCAAGGAGCUGGACAGAGGAUCAGCACCGUAGAUCAGGACCAGGAACAGAGAAUCAGGAUCAAAGAUAAGCUGAAGGACCAAGGAUAGAUCAUCAGGACCAAAGACCAAGGAUAAGGACCAAGUACCAUGGAAUGCAAAAGACCGACCUCAGUGGGACCAAACCACUUCAAGAAGUGCAGGGUUGGAUUCAGUAGCCCCUCUGCCACAUGGAAG